rnacentral:rRNA from 1 species
AUUGAACGCUGGCGGCAGGCCUAACACAUGCAAGUCGAGCGGAUGAAGGGAGCUUGCUCCUGGAUUCAGCGGCGGACGGGUGAGUAAUGCCUAGGAAUCUGCCUGGUAGCGGGGGAUAACGUCCGGAAACGGGCGCUAAUACCGCAUACGUCCUGAGGGAGAAAGUGGGGGAUCUUCGGACCUCACGCUAUCAGAUGAGCCUAGGUCGGAUUAGCUAGUUGGUGGGGUAAAGGCCUACCAAGGCGACGAUCCGUAACUGGUCUGAGAGGAUGAUCAGUCACACUGGAACUGAGACACGGUCCAGACUCCUACGGGAGGCAGCAGUGGGGAAUAUUGGACAAUGGGCGAAAGCCUGAUCCAGCCAUGCCGCGUGUGUGAAGAUGGUCUUCGGAUUGUAAAGCACUUUAAGUUGGGAGGAAGGGCAGUAAGUUAAUACCUUGCUGUUUUGACGUUACCAACAGAAUAAGCACCGGCUAACUUCGUG